rnacentral:rRNA from 1 species
UACGUAGGGUGCGAGCGUUGUCCGGAAUUACUGGGCGUAAAGAGCUCGUAGGUGGUUUGUCGCGUUGUUCGUGAAAACUCACAGCUCAACUGUGGGCGUGCGGGCGAUACGGGCAGACUAGAGUACUGCAGGGGAGACUGGAAUUCCUGGUGUAGCGGUGGAAUGCGCAGAUAUCAGGAGGAACACCGGUGGCGAAGGCGGGUCUCUGGGCAGUAACUGACGCUCAUGCACGAAAGCGUGGGGAGCAAACAGG